rfam:Trichinella pseudospiralis scaffold381s, whole genome shotgun sequence.
CCAACGGUCCUUUUCAGGACCAUAUUUAUUUUUACUCAAAUCAAU